UGCAAGCGUUAAUCGGAAUUACUGGGCGUAAAGCGUGCGCAGGCGGUCUUGCAAGACAGAUGUGAAAUCCCCGGGCUUAACCUGGGAACUGCAUUUGUGACUGCAAGGCUGGAGUGCGGCAGAGGGGGAUGGAAUUCCACGUGUAGCAGUGAAAUGCGUAGAGAUGUGGAGGAACACCGAUGGCGAAGGCAGCCCCCUGGGCUAACACUGACGCUCAUGCACGAAAGCGUGGGGAGCAAACAGG
rnacentral:rRNA from 1 species